AUUGGUGAAUAAAAGGCUCUUACU
rnacentral:siRNA from 1 species